CUGGAGUGCCCCCAUCCCACGUCGCUGAAGUGGUUAAAACCCCUUCAGACACUUACCUGAAUCCAGCACCGAUGUCCCUUGGUGCUGGGUCAGGCUCCGCCCACGCUCCUGCCCCACCGACAUCCGCCGGCGGGGAAGAUCUAAUGCGCUUGCGCGGCAAUGGCCACGCACAUUAGACCUCCCCAUAGUAAAGCAUUAUUCAAUGCUUUCCUAUGGGAUUCUGGCGACACUGGAGGUCUUAAUGCAUAGCGUGAGGAUGUCCAGCGUCGUUUAGAAGACCAAAAGUCAUCAAAGAGGCCGGAAGUCUGGUAGACAGCCACUAGAGGAAGACUUAA